rnacentral:sRNA from 1 species
AAAAAACAAACAAACAAUGCUUAUUUUAGAAACGACCCUGUUGAGACAAAACAGAAUCUGGCCAUCUGGAUUUCUUUUCUGGAAUUAGUCUUUCUUGGUUGCCAUCAUCUGCUUACACUGUGCACCGGGAAGGGUGAUUGUAGACACACAUUUAUAUUUUAUAUGUGUAUCAGUUUUUCAAGUUUUCUAGGGCUCUUAUUAGCUGUUAAAUGUUUUCAGAAAAUUUUGAGAUUAGUGAUUUGUGUCAGCAGAUCUUGGGAUAACUUCCUGAGCUUGUUGAGUCUUUGUUUCAUUGUUUGUGGUCAGUUUCUUCAGCAUACUUGUGUACCAGGAUGCUUUUUCUUUCUGAAUUUUCUACUUCGUAUUAUUAAACAGGUAAAAAUUUAAGUUCUAGAAAGCAAGGGAUGUGUAACUGAAGGACGUAUACAGUACGUGUCCCAUGCUGAACACUAAGAAAAUACUUAGUGAACAUCUGUCAAAAUGAGGGGAAAAAAAACCUGUUGUGCAUGUUCGGUGGUGUUUCUAAGUUCCUUUGUUGCUCAGUCUGGUGGGUAGACUCCAAGUCAGCUGCUUGUUUUAGUAGUCUGUAUCUAGAUUUUGACCUGGGUAGGUGCUUGUUCUUUGAAAGUAGCAGGAAACUAAUCUUCUUUUGUGUUGCUUUCCAUCACUGGCUGGCCAAGCAUGGUUGUGCAGGAGAAUAUUUUCUUUGCUUACUUAAUUAGCUGCUUCUUAGCAGCCACUGGAUUUUUAAAAUAUUUAACAUCCUUCUAUAUUUCAUAUCUUCUUCAUUUCUUUUGGAUGGGCCACCAGAAGUCAAAUAUUAGAGGAAAUGUUUAAGUUCCACUUGCUAUUGAAAAGUGACAAAAUGAAAUAUUCCUUUCCUUCAAAAAAGUGGUCAUAAUGCCUUGAUACUAUAUUCUUGUUUUAAGUUUAUGACAUUCAUUUUUGUAUCUUAAGAUCUUUGACCCAUUUGGAGCCUGUAAAAGUAUUUGCUAGAUAUAAAAUGACUAGAUUGUCUUUUAUUAAAUUUACAGCCAAACCUGUGCCUAAAACUCUUUUUCUAAUGCCUUUCUUCUACUUUUUCCCAAUAUCACAUUCUCUGAGUCAUUAUUAGACAUCAGACAAAAAUUAAAUGUACUAAGAGUCAUUUUAGAAGUUAGUAUCUUUCACUUCUACACAUUAGCUCUAUAAAAAUAAUGUCUAAUAUUGACUUGUAUUGUUAGAUGAAGCAACUUUCGUGUUUUUUGGAAACUGAUUUCUUGUUCCUUAUAUUAAGAAAUUAGGUCAAUGUAACCAAAGCAUUUGAUCCAUCUGUGACUUCCUUUGUGUUCUGUUUCGUGAAUCAUCUCUUCGAUGAUUCCGUUUAGAGCUAUUUAAUCUCUGCACAUGUUUGGGGCCUUUUACAAACGCUUCCUGGAUUCCCAGGAUGCAGAUGUUUCCUGUCCUGUUAGCAACUUUACUUUUCAUUCUACAGGAGCAACAGUUUAAAAAUUCUAUUAGUCACAGACUGACUCUCAGCGAUUUCUCUUUCACUAUCUUGUGUCCUGGUCGCUGAUUUCUGCAACUCUUCCUUAACAUCCUUUCUCCAUGUGCUUGUCUAGUUUGCCCUCCAGUGAGGACCAUGUUUCCUUGCAUUUCCAUGAAGCUCACAUGGAGUAGCUCACUCUGCUUGUGGAGAGACCCAUGCACUCUGCUGCACUGCGGAACAGGUCAGCUAGCCCAGUGAAGAAGAACACUAUGGUGUUGCCUCUCAGGCCAGGGCAGUGGGGGUGCAUGGCCCACACUCAGUGGUCAAAGAUGAACUUUGCAUAAUUUCCAAGUGAGACUCUUAUUUUAAAAGUCCUUAAAAUAUAAAGGUUAUGUAACUUCCUUUUAAAGCUUAAUUCAUGGUUGUAACUUUGGAAUAUGAUAUAUCAUGGCUGUUGUCUUUGUUUAGUGGCAUUUUCUGUUGGUUUGUUAUUGAUGACCCUUAAAUUCUUGCAGAUUAAAGAGUGGACUGUUGUGGAAACACUGGAUAGUUUGCUUACUUUGUCUUGAGUUUGUAAAAAUGUGACACGUACUUACAUUUUGCCAGAAGCCAUAGCUAUGGGUGCUAGGAUCUGAAAAUAUCUGUAUGGGCUGUGUAUUAGGUAAAGAUGUUGAUGGUUAUUGGUCAGAUAAGGAAAAGUUAUUGGUGGGGUUGGCGUGGGGCUGCUUGUAUUUAAAUGCUCCCUACAUACUGGCUCCCAAGAUCUGGAAGCCCUGAGGAACAGAUCCUCAAGUACCCCAAGUGAUGCUUUGUAAACUUUGCUUCUUAGUUUAACUCAUUAAAAAUGGAUAGAGUCUGUGAUUAGGCAAUAGAAGAAGAAAGGUGGGAUUGAGGAUGGACUGGCGGGUCUCAAGAGACAGGAGAAGGGGGAACAAGAGAGGAGACCAAGGGAAGAGGAAACCACCAUGUGAGAAGAUGGACCCUGAGCUUAUGGCCUGGAAAAAGAGCAAGUAACAAGGGACAUUAUGGCAUGGAUAUAGGUUAGUGUAGCUGUAAACCUCCCCAAUUAGGCUUAUGACUUGUAAAUAAAGUACCUGGAUUGUGUGUCUUUUAUUUGGACUAGUUAGAGUGUUUAAUUCCUUUUAUAAUUGGUGCCUUUGACCCUGAGAUUAAGUCUCAUGCUCUACUGAAAUGAAGUUAGAUAUUGUACUGUGUGUUUCUGGUGGUGCAAUAACUUUGCUGUUUUUCAUAGAGCAUUGAGGUGUUUCAAUAUUUGUGAAAAAGAGGCAGUGAGUAGUUUUUUUUAACUAUGUGCUACUGCAGUGUACACAGAAUAGCUUUGUUUGGAAUUAGCUAAAGUGAUAGGUUUGGGUCUUGCUUUACUAACAGUGUAGUUUGUAGCAGAAAAGUUUCUAUAAAUGCACACAUCAUACUUAACCUAAUAGUAUUAUCCAGAGCAAUGACCAAUUUCUUUAAUAUAUUCAUCCAUUAUUAAUUGACUUCUUUAUGGUUCAGGUGCCGGGCACAUUUAUACAUCUGGGUGAGAUUGCAAAUUUUGUUUGUAUAUUACAAAUGCCGGUAAGCUGUUUUUCUAUCGAAACUGGAAUUAUGUUCUGUAAAGCAGUUACUACUGACAAAAAUUGAGCUCAGGUUUUUUAGUUGAAGGUGCACUUGUUUCAUGACAAGUAGAAAAUAAUGCUGUUAGACUGUUUUUACCUGUGCGUAAAAGAAAAACUUUAAUGUUUAAGAUAAAGUGUCAUUAUAGUAUAUAAAAAUGUUCAUAUAAUGUACAUAUAUUUGUGUGUGUGUGUGUGUGUGUGUGUGUGUGUGUGUGUGCGUCGCACAUGUAUGUUUGAUUGUAGUGUAUAGAUGAGAUCAUCAAGCUANAACUGACUUAGUUUCUGGAUAUGGGAAACAGGAAACCAAAUUUUCUAAAAAUGAUUAGUAAGUUUUUGUUUAAUCAAAUGGCUGGCAGAAACUUGAAAUUUCUUUAACAUGUUAUUUUUAAGUUCUAUAGAAAGUUCUUUUAGGAAAGAAAAAAUAACCAUUCCAAGAAACUUCUUUUCUGUUUUUCCUGUUAUAGUGAGCUGCAUAGUUCUCCUAAGCAAGGAGGUGGACUUCAUCCUCCUUACCACUUUCACCCUUGCCUACCCCAGGGACUGUCUGACAAGACCUAAUAUCAGAUUCAUCAGUGAGUAAGAAUCCCGAUUCUACGCAAAGAAAUUGAAUUGGUUCUGUUUUUUUCAAGAGAUGAAAUUGCUUCUUGUGGUUAUGAAGGCAGGUCCAUUAAUGAACAUAAGAGGAAGGACCAUG